rnacentral:rRNA from 1 species
GACGAACGCUGGCGGCGUGCUUAACACAUGCAAGUCGAACGGAAAGGCCCCUUUGGGGGUCCUCGAGUGGCGAACGGGUGAGUAACACGUGAGUAACCUGCCCUUGACUUCGGGAUAACUUCAGGAAACUGGGGCUAAUACCGGAUAGGAAUCCUUGCUGCAUGGUGGGGGUUGGAAAGCUUCGGCGGUUUUGGAUGGACUCGCGGCUUAUCAGCUUGUUGGUGGGGUAGUGGCUUACCAAGGCUUUGACGGGUAGCCGGCCUGAGAGGGCGACCGGCCACAUUGGGACUGAGAGACGGCCCAGACUCCUACGGGAGGCAGCAGUGGGGAAGAUUGCACAAGGGGCGGAAGCCGGAUGCAGCAACGCCGUGGGCGGGAUGACGGCCUUCGGGUUGGAAACCGACUUCAGCAGGGGCGAAGCUUGUGGUGACGGUACCUGCAGAAGAAGCACCGGCUAACUACGUG